UGCUCUGCCUUCUCUUUCAUGAUGCUGUACCUUUUCUUUCACCAAAACUCUUUCACGAUGCUCUGGCCUUUUCUUUCACCAAACACCAAGAUGCACGCCCUUCCUUCCUCUACCAGCUCCUUCUCUACUAGGUCUUCCUCCAUCAAACCCACAACAAACCGACAUCAAAUCAUCUAAAGACACCUACCCACUAUACGCAUAGAUUCCUCAAUCAAAACCCACCAUACCCACAUAUUAACAAAGAUCUCCUUCCUCAGACCCUAUUGCUCCCGUUCCCCUUCUCCUUUCCCGUUCCACCCACAACCACCAGAACUCAACAGGCAGCAGCAGCAGCACCACCACCACCCACAACAACCGCAACCAAUAAACCACCAUAAUCAGACCAUAUCAAACCCACAACCCAAAAGCAAAAAAUGAUUUUGAAGAUCUGCGAUUUUGGGGAUGACGAAGAAGAGCAAGAGCAAGCCGUAAUCUAAUCCAGUCAUGGGAACUAUUUCAAGGCAAAGCAAAAGGGUUUGACAUGGAGAAGGCUUUAUUGGCAAAGUCUAUUCAUGAUUUUGAAAAAGUAAUAUCUAUGGUAUCUUAGCACAAGAGACGUGGUUGGGAAUGUGAGCAAGCAAAGAAGAUUUAUAAAACUCAAUGUUUUAUGUUGAAUAAAUAUAUGAUGUACUCUUCUAUAUAAUGUAGAUUUGUUGUAUUAUGUUCUUUCUCUACUCUUUUUGAUUCAUAGCAAAAUAAUUUGACAUUGGUAACUAUAUUCUAUUUAUUUAUUAUGAAAAUAAGAUUGUGAUCAUUAUUGCAA